GGGAAUCGGGUCGCGCGGAUCUUCAGAGAUUAGAGUUUGAUCCUGGCUCAGGAUGAACGCUAGCGGUGUGCCUAAUGCAUGCAAGUCGAACGGGAUCCUUGGAUUCGUCUGAGGUGAGAGUGGCGAACGGGUGAGUAACACGUAGGUGACCUGCCCCGGAGAGGGGGACAACCACUGGAAACGGUGGCUAAUACCCCAGAUGUCUUUGCGCUUAGAAAGCAAUGACUAAAGUUCCGGCGCUCCGGGAGGGGCCUGCGGCCCAUCAGCUUGUUGGUAAGGUAAUGGCUUACCAAGGCAAAGACGGGUAGGGGGCGUGAGAGCGUGACCCCCCACACUGGUACUGAGACACGGACCAGAUACCUGCGGGUAGCAGCAGCAAGGAAUAUUGCCCAAUGGACGAAAGUCUGAGGCAGCAACGCCGCGUGGAGGAUGAAGGCCUUCGGGUUGUAAACUCCUUUUCUGGGGGAAGAGAAAGGACGGUACCCCAGGAAUAAGUCUCGGCUAACUACGUGCCAGCAGCCGCGGUAAAACGUAGGAGGCGAGCGUUAUCCGGAUUUACUGGGCGUAAAGCGCAUGCAGGCGGUUUUUUAAGUCGGACGUGAAAGCUCCCGGCCCAACUGGGAGAGGCCGUUCGAAACUGGAAAACUUGAGGAUGGUAGAGGAGAGUGGAAUUCCCGGUGUAGUGGUGAAAUGCGUAGAUAUCGGGAGGAACACCAGUGGCGAAGGCGGCUCUCUGGGCCAUUCCUGACGCUCAGAUGCGAAAGCUAGGGGAGAGAACGGGAUUAGAAACCCCGGUAUUCCUAGCCGUAAACGAUGUCAACUAGGCGUAGGAGGUUAUUGACCCCUUCUGUGCUGUAGCUAACGCAUUAAGUUGACCGCCUGGGGACUACGGCCGCAAGGCUAAAACUCAAAGGAAUUGACGGGGACCCGCACAAGCAGCGGAGCGUGUGGUUUAAUUCGAGGCUACGCGAAGAACCUUACCAGGG
rnacentral:rRNA from 1 species